AUUGAACGCUGGCGGCAUGCCUAACACAUGCAAGUCGAACGAGACCUUCGGGUCUAGUGGCGCACGGGUGCGUAACGCGUGGGAAUCUGCCCUCUGGUACGGAAUAACUCAGGGAAACUUGAGCUAAUACCGUAUAAUGACUCCGGUCCAAAGAUUUAUCGCCUGAGGAUGAGCCCGCGUCGGAUUAGCUAGUUGGUGAGGUAAAGGCUCACCAAGGCGACGAUCCGUAGCUGGUCUGAGAGGAUGAUCAGCCACACUGGGACUGAGACACGGCCCAGACUCCUACGGGAGGCAGCAGUGGGGAAUAUUGGACAAUGGGCGACAGCCUGAUCCAGCAAUGCCGCGUGAGUGAUGAAGGCCUUAGGGUUGUAAAGCUCUUUUACCCGGGAUGAUAAUGACAGUACCGGGAGAAUAAGCCCCGGCUAACUCCGUGCCAGCCGCCGCCGUAAGAC
rnacentral:rRNA from 1 species